ensembl:lncRNA
AUCUUCUUUAUGCACCAAAAGCUGGUAACACUCCAAAGAGAAAGGAAAAAUUUAAAUCGCAUCAUGACCCCUUUAAGCUCACACAGUCUAUCAGACAAGCAGAAAGAAAGAAUGAUCUGUCAUAAAAUGAAUAACUUUGCCCAGUCCUUGAAUGUUAGCCAAUGUAAAUAAAACAGUUAUGAUUGACAAGCAUUACAAAGUAGCAACGAUGAGCAACACAUUCCAAAGUGUCUUCUUCACUCACUUAUAUUUUUAUUAUUUAAAAGCAAACCGAACGUCCUGUUGACUGUCAAGCCUGGAAGCAUUUUGGCAACAGCCUUCAUCAGGAGGCAGGACAGACACACGAUGGGUUAAAAGAAAAAGAUCUGGAGGAGCACAGCGAAAACAUCACUAGCAGAGGUCUGACAAACACUAAAUCUGUAGGAUGCCUCCUGCUGUUCUUCUCAUCGGCUGUCUACUCGCCACAAUCAGCUGUUUAACCACAGCUCAAACUGGAAUCGCUCCAUCUGGACUGGCUACAAAUACUACAACUACCACAUCAAUUAUCUCCUUACCUAUUACAAUACCACCUACACCAGCACUGACUACAACAAUGACUACAACUACAACACCGCCUACACCAGCACCAACUACAUCAUCAUCUUCACCAGCACUGGUUACAACUACAACAGCACGAACUUCAACGUCAUUUACACCACCAACUACUACAACUACAGUCCAUCCACCAGCAUUACUCACUAUUCUCGAGAUGAAGGUGAAGACGCUGAAUGAAGAAGAGCGUCAGGCUGAACUGCUUGAGGUUGGCAAAGUGCUGGAGAGUUUCUUAAGAGCGAAUUAUACUGGCAACUUCUCUGUUAAAGUCACGAAAAUUAAAAAGUUAUCACCAUAGGACUGAGUCGGAAAUCUUUUUUUUU